UGAAGUAACCCAUCCUGUCGCUUACAUUCAGCUAGGGCACUUAAACCAAAAUCUGAAACCUUAAGAUUCCCAUCCUCAUCCAAGAGUAGGUUUUCUGGUUUCAGAUCACGAUGAGAGACUCCUCUACUGUGGCAAUAAUCAACUGCACUGAUCAACUGUUCAAAAUAUUUUCUUGCAACAUCCUCCUUCAGCUUCUCCUUGGCCACUUUGUUGAAGAGCUCACCACCUUG
rnacentral:misc_RNA from 1 species